rnacentral:misc_RNA from 1 species
GUGAAUCAUCGAAUCUUUGAACGCAAAUGGCGCUCUCGGGAUAGGCCUGAGAGCACGCCUCUUUGAGUAUCGAUUCCACCACAUCCAGUGUAACAUGCUGGGAAAUUGGGUCGUCACAACUCUUGGGUUGUGUGAUCUUAAGCGAAAUGAAAUUGUAGGCCUUUCGUUGACUUCUGUCUUGGGCGGAGUCUAGACAUUUGAUUGGUUUUUAAUAAUCAACAACUGUUCUCGAAAGGGUGUGACGUGGAUAACCUCACAGUAACAUGUGAACCCAUCCAAUACGUGACACCUAAUCAAGCA